GACGAACGCUGGCGGCGUGCCUAAUACAUGCAAGUCGAACGAGAGCGACCGGUGCUUGCACUGGUCAAUCUAGUGGCGAACGGGUGAGUAACACGUGGGUAACCUGCCCAUCAGAGGGGGAUAACAUUCGGAAACGGAUGCUAAAACCGCAUAGGUCUUCGAACCGCAUGGUUUGAAGAGGAAAAGAGGCGCAAGCUUCUGCUGAUGGAUGGACCCGCGGUGCAUUAGCUAGUUGGUGAGGUAACGGCUCACCAAGGCCGUGAUGCAUAGCCGACCUGAGAGGGUGAUCGGCCACAUUGGGACUGAGACACGGCCCAAACUCCUACGGGAGGCAGCAGUAGGGAAUCUUCCGCAAUGGACGCAAGUCUGACGGAGCAACGCCGCGUGAGUGAAGAAGGUUUUCGGAUCGUAAAACUCUGUUGUCAGAGAAGAACAAGUGCUAGAGUAACUGUUAGCACCUUGACGGUAUCUAACCAGAAAGCCGGCUA
rnacentral:rRNA from 1 species